rnacentral:lncRNA from 1 species
UCUUGUAAUUCCAAAUUCCUUUGCCUUCAAUUUCCUAGUCGAAUAAACGAAUUUACUGAGAGGAGAGAUUUUUAGUUUAUUUAGUUUUUCAUUUCAUAUUUUGAUGCCGCACUCUUUCUUGUCCGGAGGAAGAAUUUCAUGGAAUAGAAUUUCUUGAAUUAGCUAGCUAUCAUAGUUUUCUUUACCCCAAAACCAACACUGACUCGGGUUGUUCAAUCUUAAGUGGAGUGAGUUAAAUGACUU